AUCUUUACUUAAUAUCCUAAUGAUUUUUGGCAUAAAAGAAAAAUCGAUAAUUUUGACCCAUACAAUGUAUUGUUGGCUAUUGCUACAAAUAUCCAGGGUGCAGGGUCACAUAUAUUUUGUAGAUAUCUCACCUCAAACAUGAUUUUCACUGACAUUGUUGUCUCACUUAAAAAAAAAAAAGCUAUUAUUACUAUUAAUUAACAUUAUUAGUGGCAAAACUGUUUGUUGUCACAACUGUUUGAACUGUGGGGUGUAAUAAUUUAUAUAAUAUUUAUAGUUUAUAAUUUUUUCAUUUCCAUAAUUUUCACAAAAUAUUGAAUUGGAUUAUGUUGAAUAAUCUUUAUAUUGUCAUUGUUUUGAAAUUGCGGGUCUGGGUAAAAUGAAAUAUAUACAUGAAAGGUAUUUUAAAAGUAGCAAAAAUGAAAGAUGACACACUGUAAAAUGUUUUAAUGUGAACUGCAUAUAACAAAAAUUUUUAAAUCAACCCCUGGGGCAUAAAUUCAUUGAUUAUAAAUAAUUUGUAAUAGAUUAAGAAAUCUGGAUACAUGAUUCCAUUUCACACACAAUCAUUCAUUUAGGAUCUGUGUGAUUGAUACAGAAGGCCUCGGGAACAUCCUCCACCCCUCGACUAAGCUGUCUAAAAAUAAAUGAGAAGAGAGGAGGAUGAGCAGGCGGAGAGGAUGGAAGGAUAAAAGAAGGAGGUUAAAGAGGGUGCAGUCUGAUGGACAAACUGCACUCCUCCCUUUCUGUCUGUAACCAUGUGUCUGACUAUGAUGAGCAUGGCAGCAUGUGCACUGUUGUCAUGGCUGGCGGGCAGGUUGUUCUGGACUAGAGGAGGAGAAGACGAAAGAGGAGACGGAGAAGGACACCUGGACAGAAUGGUGAGAGAGAAAAUAGGCGGAUAUUUUAGGUGGAAUAUAGGUGAUAUAGAUAGUGAGAAACUUUCACUGUCAUUGUCUGGAAAAGAGCAGCAGGAACAUUCUACCUAACAUCUUAUUCUGUGGUAGAAAUAAGUUCAUUAUAAUAUAAUAUAAUAUAAUAUAAUAUAAUAUAAUAUAAUAUAAACAAUGCAAUACAAUAAUUUCCCCUUAGCACAAUGGCAUACAGGAUAUUAGUCAUAUUGAUUUUUGACAAUGUAAGAUGGAAGAGCUGACAUUGUCCAAUCAGAAAGGAUUGGGGUUUUGUCCACCUGCUCAUGUGAAUUCAGCAGCACAUGGUUAAUUUUAACAGGUGAGAUAACCACAUAAUUAGUCAGCACUCAUGAGAUCACACUGGAUCAGCUUUUGUUCCCUCCCUCGUGCUUUCUGCUCUGCUGAAAAGAGCAGCGCUGUUGGUCACCAGCAUAUGUUGAGCUUUUGGAUGCCAGUGUGCCGGUGUCCCCACCAGGAUUCUUAAAGUUAAUUAUGGAGGAUUAUAUAUUAGGAGAUUUAUUAGAUUCUGGUUCCAUUGCCAAUUCACUUCAUGGUUCUUGGUUCCUUUACUGUACUGUAAAACAUUCUUUUAUUGUUCAUUUUUAGGGAGAAUGUAUGUAAACUGUAAUUAAAAUAAUUCUUAUUGCAUUAAGUACACUCAGAAGUCAUCUGUUGAAUUAAGUGAUCAUUUCAAAUUUCAGCUGAACAUUAUUAACAAAUUACCAAAAAUGUGUAACACUUUACAAUAAGGUUCAUUAGUUAACAUUAGUUAACAUGAACUAAUAAUGAACUGCACUUAUACAGCAUUUAUUAA